rnacentral:rRNA from 1 species
GUCUAUGGCCAUACCACCCUGAACAUGCCCGAUCUCCUCUGAUCUUGGAAGAAAGCAGGAUAUGUACAUUGACUGUAUGUAGGAUAUAUACU